rnacentral:rRNA from 1 species
UACGUAGGGGGCUAGCGUUGUCCGGAAUCAUUGGGCGUAAAGCGCGUGUAGGCGGUCCGGUAAGUCCGCUGUGAAAGUCGAGGGCUCAACCCUCGAAUGCCGGUGGAUACUGUCGGGCUUGAGUACGGGAGAGGCGAGUGGAAUUCCUGGUGUAGCGGUGAAAUGCGCAGAUAUCAGGAGGGACACCGAUUGCGAAGGCAGCUCGCUGGAACGUUACUGACGCUGAGACGCGAAAGCGUGGGGAGCAAACAGG